rnacentral:snoRNA from 7 species
AAGCCAAUGAUGAUUAGCUAUUACAUCUGGAAUUACCGUCAGAUUUACUCGUGACGAAAAUCGUCUGGCUUUCUGAGGCAUAUU